rnacentral:rRNA from 1 species
ACGGGGUGCAGCAGGCGCGAAAACUUUACAAUGCGGGAAACCGUGAUAAGGGAACCCCGAGUGCCUGUAUAUGCAGGCUGUCCAGGUGUCUAAAAAACACCUGAAGAAAGGGCCGGGCAAGACCGGUGCCAGCCGCCGCGGUAAUACCGGCGGCUCGAGUGGUGGCCACUUUUAUUGGGCUUAAAGCGUUCGUAGCUGGGUUGUUAAGUCUCUUGGGAAAUCUGACGGCUCAACCGUCAGGCGUCCAAGGGAUACUGGCAAUCUUGGAACCGGGAGAGGUGAGGGGUGCUUCGGGGGUAGGAGUGAAAUCCUGUAAUCCUCGAGGGACCACCUGUGGCGAAGGCGCCUCACCAGAACGGCUACGACAGUGAGGGACGAAAGCUGGGGGAGCAAACCGGAUUAGAUACCCGGGUAGUCCCAGCCGUAAACGAUGCGCGUUAGGUGUAUCGGUGACCACGAGUCACCGAGGUGCCGAAGGGAAACCGUGAAACGUGCCGCCUGGGAAGUACGGCCGCAAGGCUGAAACUUAAAGGAAUUGGCGGGGGAG